GUGGCGAACGGGUGAGUAACACGUGAGCAAUCUGCCCUUGACUCUGGGAUAACUGCGGGAAACUGUAGCUAAUACCGGAUGUUACCUUGGAAGGCAUCUUCUGGGGUGGAAAGAAUUUUGGUCAAGGAUGAGCUCGCGGCCUAUCAGCUAGUUGGUGAGGUAAUGGCUCACCAAGGCGACGACGGGUAGCCGGCCUGAGAGGGUGACCGGCCACACUGGGACUGAGACACGGCCCAGACUCCUACGGGAGGCAGCAGUGGGGAAUAUUGCACAAUGGGCGCAAGCCUGAUGCAGCGACGCCGCGUGAGGGAUGACGGCCUUCGGGUUGUAAACCUCUUUCGCCAGGGACGAAGCGCGAGUGACGGUACCUGGAUAAGAAGCACCGGCUAACUACGUGCCAGCAGCCGCGGUAAUACAGAGGGUGCGAGCGUUAAUCGGAGUUACUGGGCGUAAAGGGUGCGUAGGCGGUUAUUUAAGUUUG
rnacentral:rRNA from 1 species